GGCCACCGUUUCGGCUUUUGUUGGUUCUAGAAGUCCUUGGGAGAUUAUGGGGCCGCGUGCCUUGGGUCGGUGUUUCGUGUCUAAUUUUUGUGGCGCGCACAUUCGGCUCUUCGUGAUGUUUUUUUACAUUCAUUGCGACGCGCGGCUUCCAGGAAUGAAGGAGGGUAGUUCGGGGGAGAACGUACUGGUGCGUCAG
rnacentral:rRNA from 1 species